AGUGUAGAUUCAGAGUUUGAUCCUGCUCAGGAUGAACGCUAGCGGCAGGCCUAAUACAUGCAAGUCGAACGGGAUCCAGUAGCUUGCUACUGGUGAGAGUGGCGCACGGGUGCGUAACGCGUGAGCAACCUGCCCGUCCCAGGGGGAUAGCCCCUCGGAAGAGGGAUUAACACCGCAUGACGCUGGAGGGUGGCAUCAUCUUCCAGCCAAAUAUUCAUAGGGGACGGAUGGGCUCGCGUGGCAUUAGCUUGUUGGUAAGGUAACGGCUUACCAAGGCAACGAUGCCUAGGGGCUCUGAGAGGAGAAUCCCCCACACUGGUACUGAGACACGGACCAG
rnacentral:rRNA from 1 species